AGAACGAACGCUGGCGGCAUGCCUAAUACAUGCAAGUCGAACGAACACUUCGGUGUUAGUGGCGCACGGGUGCGUAACGCGUGGGAAUCUGCCCUUGGGUUCGGAAUAACAGUUGGAAACGACUGCUAAUACCGGAUGAUAUCGAAAGAUCAAAGAUUUAUCGCCCAGGGAUGAGCCCGCGUAGGAUUAGCUAGUUGGUGAGGUAAAGGCUCACCAAGGCGACGAUCCUUAGCUGGUCUGAGAGGAUGAUCAGCCACACUGGGACUGAGACACGGCCCAGACUCCUACGGGAGGCAGCAGUAGGGAAUAUUGGACAAGUGGGCGCAAGCCUGAUCCAG
rnacentral:rRNA from 1 species